AAUCAACGCUGGCGGCGUGCCUCAGACAUGCAAGUCGAACGCGAAAGUUUCCUUCGGGAAGCGAGUAGAGUGGCGUCCGGGUGAGUAACACGUAGGUAAUCUACCUUUGGGUGGGGAAUAACAACCGGAAACGGUUGCUAAUACCGCAUAAUGCAGCGGCACCACAUGGUGACAGUUGUUAAAGCGGGGGAUCGCAAGACCUCGCGCCUAAAGAGGAGCCUGCGGCGGAUUAGC
rnacentral:rRNA from 1 species